AACUAACGCUGGCGGCGUGCCUAACACAUGCAAGUCGUACGAGAAAGUUGGCUUCGGCCGAUGAGUAAAGUGGCGCACGGGUGAGUAAUGCGUGGAUAAUCUGCCCUUUAGUUGGGAAUAACGUACCGAAAGGUGCGCUAAUACCUGAUAAUACUGCAUAACUACUGUUGUGUAGUCAAAGAAGGCCUCUGUUUACAAGCUUUUGCUGAAGGAUGAGUCCGCGUACCAUUAGCUGGUUGGUGGGGUAAUGGCCUACCAAGGCUACGAUGGUUAGCUGGUCUGAGAGGAUGAUCAGCCACACUGGAACUGAGACACGGUCCAGACUCCUACGGGAGGCAGCAGUGAGGAAUAUUGCGCAAUGGGGGCAACCCUGACGCAGCAACGCCGCGUGAGUGAGGAAGGUUUUCGGACCGUAAAGUCUCUGUCGAGCGGGAAGAAAUGUAUCAUGGCUAAUAUCCAUGAUACUUGACGGUACCGCUAAAGG
rnacentral:rRNA from 1 species